UUGGGGUUCACUUUGGAGCUCCUCCUUGGCAACGACUGGCAGGUGCUUUCCGAACUGCCUGAUUUGCCUAUCCUGUCCUUGGGUCAGACCAGACAUCCAAAAGACCAAUCUUUCUUUUCCCCAGUGGCCUGGUUGCCCCCAUCUGGAGGUGUAAUUUGGUAGGUAAAUUCCCAGAUAAUAUUGCCAAGAAACCAGGAAGCCUCUUCCUCCUAUCCAGCCUCACUGUAUGACUUGAAAACCCCAAGGCCGAAGAGCCUCAGUGUUUGUUUGCAUAAAAGGAAGAUAGAGAUACAACUGUGGGAAAAUGACAUUGGACAAUCUCUCCCAUGAAGUCUACAGUGGACACUCCGAGAAACCCAGAAAUCACAAAGCUUACCUCAGCCUCAAAUUUGACUGAAGACUUCUGUUCCUUGGUUUGGCUAAUGGCUCUUGAUGACUUUUGAUCCUUGGCACUGGCAACUGCUUCUGGGAGCUCCUUAAGAAGUUAAACAUAGAGUUAUAAUUUGAGCAUUU